UGGGGAAUAUUGCACAAUGGGCGCAAGCCUGAUGCAGCCAUGCCGCGUGUGUGAAGAAGGCCUUCGGGUUGUAAAGUACUUUCAGCGGGGAGGAAGGGAGUAAAGUUAAUACCUUUGCUCAUUGACGUUACCCGCAGAAGAAGCACCGGCUAACUCCGUGCCAGCAGCCGCGGUAAUACGGAGGGUGCAAGCGUUAAUCGGAAUUACUGGGCGUAAAGCGCACGCAGGCGGUUUGUUAAGUCAGAUGUGAAAUCCUCGGGCUCAACCUGGGAACUGCAUCUGGUACUGGCAAGCUGGAGUCUCGGAGAGGGGGGUAGAAUUCCCGGUGUAGCGAUGAAAUGCGUAGAGAUCUGGAGGAAUACCGGUGGCGAAGGCGGCCCCCUGGACGAAGACUGACGCUCAGGUGCGAAAGCGUGGGGAGCAAACAGG
rnacentral:rRNA from 1 species